UUGACCUCGGAUCAGGUAGGGAUACCCGCUGAACUUAAGCAUAUCAAUAAGCGGAGGAAAAGAAACCAACAGGGAUUGCCCUAGUAACGGCGAGUGAAGCGGCAAGAGCUCAAAUUUGAAAGCUGGCCCCCUCGGGGCCCGCAUUGUAAUUUGCAGAGGAUGCUUCGGGCGUGGCCCCUGUCUAAGUGCCCUGGAACGGGCCGUCAGAGAGGGUGAGAAUCCCGUAUGGGAUGGGGUGCCCACGCCCGUGUGAAGCUCCUUCGACGAGUCGAGUUGUUUGGGAAUGCAGCUCUAAAUGGGUGGUAAAUUUCAUCUAAAGCUAAAUAUUGGCCGGAGACCGAUAGCGCACAAGUAGAGUGAUCGAAAGAUGAAAAGCACUUUGAAAAGAGAGUUAAAAAGCACGUGAAAUUGUUGAAAGGGAAGCGCUUGCGACCAGACUCGCCCCAGGGGUUCAACCGGCUUUCGGGCCGGUGUACUUCCCCCGGGGCGGGCCAGCGUCGGUUUUGGCGGCCGGUCAAAGGCCCCUGGAAUGUAACGCCCCCCGGGGCGUCUUAUAGCCAGGGGUGCCAUGCGGCCCGCCGGGACCGAGGAACGCGCUUCGGCUCGGACGCUGGCAUAAUGGUCGUAAGCGACC
rnacentral:rRNA from 1 species